rnacentral:rRNA from 1 species
GAUGAACGCUGGCGGCGUGCCUAAUACAUGCAAGUCGAGCGAAGCGGGGACGGGUGAGUAACACGUGGAUAACCUCCUAUAAGACUGGGAUAACUUCGGGAAACCGGAGCUAAACCGGAUACUUAUAGAUGGAUCCGCGCUGCAUUAGCUAGUUGGUAAGGUAAAGGCUUACCAAGGCAACGAGGCAUAGCCGACCUGAGAGAGUGGUCGGCCGAACUGCGACUGAGACACGGUCCAGACUCCGUCGGAAGACAGCAGUAGGGAAGCUUCCGCUAUAGGCGAAAACCUAACAGAGCAGCGCCGCUAGAGUGAUGACGGUCUUCGGAUCGUAAGACUCUGGUAUUAGUGAAGCAGUACCUAAUCAGAAGGCCACGAAUAACUAAAUGCCAGCAGCCGCGGUAAUUC